rnacentral:rRNA from 1 species
UACGGAGGUGGCGAGCGUUGUCCGAAGUUACUGGGCGUAAAGCGCGCGUAGGCGGGGGAUUAAGUGAGAAGUGAAAGGCUGGGGCUCAACUCCAUGCAGUGCUUCUCAUACUGGUCUUCUUGAGGGGGGGUAGAGAGAAGUGGAAUGGCUGGUGUAGCGGUGAAAUGCGUAGAUAUCAGGAGGAACACCGGUGGCGAAGGCGGCUACCUGGGCUAAGACUGACGCUGAGGUGCGAAAGCGUGGGGAGCGAACGGG